rnacentral:tRNA from 1 species
ACUGAUUUAGCUCAGUUGGUUAGAGCGUGGUGCUAAUAACGCCAAGGUCACAGGUUCAAUCCCUGCUCACUG